AGCAUGCAAAAAUAAAGUCAAUUAAAAAGUAAUACAAGUGAAUGAUAAUUUGUUUAAAGGAACAUGAUAAGGAUUUGAUGAUGUAUCCCGUGCAAUGAUGCCAGAAUUGUUUUUCUCGGCGACGACGCCAGAAAUUCUUCCUGCUACUUGUAAACUGCGUUGGAUUUUUCCCUGAAGAGGAGGGGAGACACAACACAUUAGAGAUAAGUAUUUCCCACCAUGAUAGCCAAGGUUAUCAAAACAAUAGUAUAAUCACACAAACUCUUGUUGUCAGCACCUACACACAAAAGAGCAAACACUUGCAUCCAACACCGACAAGAGGGUUGUCAAGCCCCUUGAACUCGUUACUUGCAAGGAUUAAAUAGUGAUAGAAAGAUAAUAUAAAUAAAAUAGUGAUAGAAAGAUAAUAUAAAGAUAAUAUAAAUAUAANUAAUAUUUUUAGUUAUUUAGUAAUAUAUUUUAUGUAGACCGGGGGACCAUAGUUUUUGCUGGUGGCAUCUCUCUCGAAGAUAGCGUAUGGUGGGUAGACAAAUUACUGUUGGGUAGUUGAUAGAAUAGCGCAUAGUUAUGAAAUAUUUAUUCACGACAAUGAUCAUGUAUAUAGGCAUCACAUCCACAAGCAAGUAGACCGAAUCCUCCCUGAAUCUACUACUAUUACUCCACUCAUCGACUGCUAUCCAACAUGCAUCUAGAGUAUUAAGUAUAAAACAGAGUAAUGCUUGGAGAAGGUGACAUGAUGUAGACAAAGUAAACUCAAUUAGUACGAAUUAACCCCAGUGUUUUAUCCUUAAUGGAAGCAAUACAAAUACGUUGCAUGUCCCUUCCUAUCACUGGGAUUGAGCACCACAAGAUUGAACCCAUCACAACGCACCCCUAACACUAAAUAUAAACCAAUCUAGUCGGCUAAACUAAACUGAUAGAUUGGAGAGAAAUAUGAACCUAUAACAAUCAUCCAUAUAAGAAACCAGCAAAUAUUAAACAUAUUUUCUUGCAUAAUCUGAUCAUAAAUCCAUAAUUUAUUGGAUCCAAGCAAACACACCGCAAAGAAGAUUACAUUCAAUAGAUCACCGCUAGAAUCACUCUUAACUUUGUAUUAAAGAACACAUAGAGAGAUAUAGCAUCUAGGUACUAGCUAUGACCCUCUAGGUCUAUGGUAGACUACUCAUACAACAUCAUGGGAGCAGCAAGGUUAAUGUAGAGGCCCUCCAUGGUUGAUCCCCAUCCACCAGGGCAUUGAAACAUGGUUGUGGAUGGAAACACGGCGGAAGAGAGACUUGCGGCGGCAGAAAAAGUAUUUUGGGUGGCUAUCUGGUGUUAUUGUUCAGGAACGUUGCAUGGGAAACAAAAAAAUCCCUACGCACACGAAGACCUGUCAUGGUGAUGAUCAUCUAAGAGAGAGAGAUCUGAUCCACAUACCCUUGUAGAUCGCCAAGCGAGAAGCAUCAAGAAACACGGUUGAUGUAGUGGAACGUCUUCAUGAUCCAAAUCGCUAUCGUCCCACGAUCCGUCCCGAUCUAGCACCGAACGGACGGCACCUCCGCGUUCAUCACACAUAAAGCUCGAUGAUGAUCUCCGCCUUCUUGAUCCAGCAAGAGAGACGAAGAUGUAGCUGAAUUCUCCGGCAGCACGACGACGUGGCGAUGAUGAUGGUGGAGCUACUCCGGCAAGGCUUCGCCGUGUCGUACCAAUCUAGCUACGAGGUGUCACGAAGUAGUGGAGGGAGAGAGGUUUGCACAAAG
rnacentral:lncRNA from 1 species